GACGAACGCUGGCGGCGUGCCUAAUACAUGCAAGUAGAACGCUGAAGAGAGGAGCUUGCUCUUCUUGGAUGAGUUGCGAACGGGUGAGUAACGCGUAGGUAACCUGCCUUGUAGCGGGGGAUAACUAUUGGAAACGAUAGCUAAUACCGCAUAACAAUGGAUGACACAUGUCAUUUAUUUGAAAGGGGCAAUUGCUCCACUACAAGAUGGACCUGCGUUGUAUUAGCUAGUAGGUGAGGUAAUGGCUCACCUAGGCGACGAUACAUAGCCGACCUGAGAGGGUGAUCGGCCACACUGGGACUGAGACACGGCCCAGACUCCUACGGGAGGCAGCAGUAGGGAAUCUUCGGCAAUGGGGGCAACCCUGACCGAGCAACGCCGCGUGAGUGAAGAAGGUUUUCGGAUCGUAAAGCUCUGUUGUAAGUCAAGAACGGGUGUGAGAGUGGAAAGUUCACACUGUGACGGUAGCUUACCAGAAAGGGACGGCUAACUACGUGCCAGCAGCCGCGGUAAUACGUAGGUCCCGAGCGUUGUCCGGAUUUAUUGGGCGUAAAGCGAGCGCAGGCGGUUUGAUAAGUCUGAAGUUAAAGGCUGUGGCUCAACCAUAGUUCGCUUUGGAAACUGUCAAACUUGAGUGCAGAAGGGGAGAGUGGAAUUCCAUGUGUAGCGGUGAAAUGCGUAGAUAUAUGGAGGAACACCGGUGGCGAAAGCGGCUCUCUGGUCUGUAACUGACGCUGAGGCUCGAAAGCGUGGGGAGCGAACAGGAUUAGAUACCCUGGUAGUCCACGCCGUAAACGAUGAGUGCUAGGUGUUGGAUCCUUUCCGGGAUUCAGUGCCGCAGCUAACGCAUUAAGCACUCCGCCUGGGGAGUACGACCGCAAGGUUGAAACUCAAAGGAAUUGACGGGGGCCCGCACAAGCGGUGGAGCAUGUGGUUUAAUUCGAAGCAACGCGAAGAACCUUACCAGGUCUUGACAUCCCGAUGCUAUUUCUAGAGAUAGAAAGUUACUUCGGUACAUCGGUGACAGGUGGUGCAUGGUUGUCGUCAGCUCGUGUCGUGAGAUGUUGGGUUAAGUCCCGCAACGAGCGCAACCCCUAUUGUUAGUUGCCAUCAUUCAGUUGGGCACUCUAGCGAGACUGCCGGUAAUAAACCGGAGGAAGGUGGGGAUGACGUCAAAUCAUCAUGCCCCUUAUGACCUGGGCUACACACGUGCUACAAUGGUUGGUACAACGAGUUGCGAGUCGGUGACGGCGAGCUAAUCUCUUAAAGCCAAUCUCAGUUCGGAUUGUAGGCUGCAACUCGCCUACAUGAAGUCGGAAUCGCUAGUAAUCGCGGAUCAGCACGCCGCGGUGAAUACGUUCCCGGGCCUUGUACACACCGCCCGUCACACCACGAGAGUUCGUAACACCCGAAGUCGGUGAGGUAACCUUUUGGAGCCAGCCGCCUAAGGUGGGACAGAUGAUUGGGGUGAAGUCGUAACAAGGUAGCCGUAUCGGAAGG
rnacentral:rRNA from 1 species